rnacentral:rRNA from 1 species
CAGCAGCCGCGGUAAUACGUAGGGUGCAAGCGUUAAUCGGAAUUACUGGGCGUAAAGCGUGCGCAGGCGGUUCGUUAAGACAGAUGUGAAAUCCCCGGGCUCAACCUGGGAACUGCAUUUGUGACUGGCAAGCUAGAGUGUGUCAGAGGAUGGUGGAAUUCCCGGUGUAGCGGUGUAAUGCGUAGAGAUCGGGAGGAACAUCAGUGGCGAAGGCGGCCAUCUGGGACAACACUGACGCUGAGGCACGAAAGCGUGGGGAGCAAACAGGAUUAGAUACCCGUGUAGUCCCUGUCUCUUAUAC